rnacentral:rRNA from 1 species
UACAGAGGUCCCAAGCGUUGUUCGGAUUCAUUGGGCGUAAAGGGUGCGUAGGCGGCGCGGUAAGUCGGGUGUGAAAUCUCGGGGCUUAACUCCGAAACUGCAUUCGAUACUGCCGUGCUUGAGACUGGAGAGGAGACUGGAAUUUACGGUGUAGCGGUGAAAUGCGUAGAUAUCGUAAGGAAGACCAGUGGCGAAGGCGGGUCUCUGGACAGUUCCAGCGCUGAGGCACGAAGGUCAGGGGAGCAAACGGG